ensembl:miRNA Mir7049 microRNA 7049
GUGUGUCUGAAGGCAGUCAGGUAGGCGGCACCUCUGACCUGCAGCCCCUGUCUGCCUCAG